GCGAACUCCAGGCGUUUGGUUCCCCACCUGCCAAGGAGCGGGGACGUUCCGAGCGCACCGUACUGCAACAGCUCCUCCCUACUAUAACAGAUAAUACACUACUGCCACUAAGUCCUGGUGGUGGCGGAAAUGGAUGUGGUGCCAAUCAAGUGGGCUGCGUUGUCCUGGACAGUGUCAAGCUUGAACCAGUUGUUGGACCUGCACCCACCCAAUGUAUUUCUGUGACUGGAUCCGUUUAGCGUAGCUCUGAGCCAUGGAGUUAACGAUGGAAAGAAUGAAGUAGCACACCAUGACGAUGACUACUUUUUCAAAGAUCCAGGACAGCCAAUUUUCAUUCUAACGGAGUUAGGAUGAAGGUUGGGGAGGAAAGAGAAAAAAACAUAAAACAGUAUUUAUUAAGAAUUGUUUAAUCUGGAAUCAAUUGCAGACUGUUACCAUCUUAAUAAGAUCAAUAUGCAGGAUUACUAACAGCCCCAAAAGACUUUUUCUUUGAAAAUUAAAGAAUUGAAGAAUACGCAAGUGUGUCAAGCUCCACACAUUGAUUUGUUAUUGUCAGAUACAGAAUUGUUUGGAGCAGGGUGGGUGAGAGAAUUGAAGAUCCUUGCACAGACCAAACAUUCAUUUAGGAGAAAUAAAGCAGGGGAAAUAUACUACUUUUCAAAUUAAAUGGCAAAACCCAAACUUUAUAAAUGUAACAUAACAAGUGGCAUGAAAAAUAAAAUCCUCUGCACACUUGCACAUUACAUAACCAUAUCCAAAUACAAUAAUUUCAAAUUCCAAUAAUUUCAUUUAAUAUUUUAAUCGAGAGACUGAUUGUUUGCCACAGAUUAAAAAUGAACAGCACCUAUGGUUGUUAAAUAUUAGCUACAAAUCUAGCAGGCUCUUGGACAAAUCGAACUCAAGAAUAGAGACAGAAACUGGAAGUUAAUUACUGCCAUCAAUGGCAUAUAAUUAUAUCAAUCUUUAGUGAUAAACUUCUAAUUUCUCAUCAUAAUUUUAUUUAGUUGCCUAGUACAAUAUAUUUUCAUUUUCAGGACUGUAACAAAGCAGUUAUUGUUUUGUAGUCCACAGUAAAAGGUUGGUCAAAGAUAUUUAAUGCUUUGGAUGUAUUUGUGAAGUGGCCAACCAAUGAUGACCUAUUGGUCAGUAUUGAAAAUUUGUUUGUCUUUAGACCUUCAGACAAGGGCUUUUGGAAGCCAGUGCAGCCAUCGGAAGCCAGAUUCUCAUUGCCUUUACGGAUCAGGAAUUAUGAGGCUAUUAAAAGACAGCGGGCUAAAAUCCAACAAAAGUAUCAAUACAAUUGGGGAUCCUCAUCAGAAGGGAACAGAUGGGAAUAUAGUUCACCAUCUCUUUCAGGCAUGUACGUAACACUUCUUCCCACUGGUCAGUUUAGCCUAUGUUGAUAUUGCCAAGGUGCUCACUAAUAUGCCUACAGAGCUGCUCCAUCUGGAGAUUUGAGUUAGCACAGCAAGCCAGAAAGGUGUGAAUCAAAAAGCAAGAAAAUCAUUCAACAGCUCAAUUAGACCAACACAGACACUGCUGCCUCCAGUUCUCCCAUAUUCAUCUGGCAACAGGAUUGCUAUUUAGCUUCAAUAAAUGCUACUGCUUUAAGAGUCUGAUUUAGAUAUUUCGCAUCUAUGUCAGUGUUGAAACAACGGCACUGAGCCAAACCAAAGUAUAUUUGUUAAUAUGUAAGUUGAAGCUUGUCUGAUAGGGGUUUAAUAAAGAUGAUAAAGUGUUUGUGCAUUGUGAAAUAGUUUGCCAGAUUCUGGAAAAUAUUCUUUUUUUAAGAGGAAGGGUAAUGUAGAUGCUGAAGUGUUUUUUUUCUUAUGUAUGAUUUCAGCAAGGGGACAUGCGUGAAUUUUAACAAGCACUUAGUGUUCCUUUCCAUUGGGUCAUCAGAAGAUUCAAAUUACCAGUAUUUGAAGGCUAAACAGCUGCAAAUUAUUUUUAAAUGUGGGGAAAAAGAAUGAUUAAAACUAUUAAUUAAGAAACUGCGGAGGUGAAAACUGAUCCUUCCAGUUUGACACUCCGACAAUCAAGGGUCAAAGAACAAAAUCCAAAAAUACUGUAACAUCAGCUUUCACAAAGCGUGUGAACUGAGUUGAAAAUCUUGUUUCUAUGACAGCAAGUCACAAAUAGCUGUUCCAUUGGGAGGAAGUACCGGUUUUUUUAAAAAGUUGCACUAGUAUUGAGUUUGGUGACUUUACAUCCACGUCAUCACUAUUGUAUCCCACACACCACGUUUUUUUUUUCGAUUCGAGGGGAAGGUGGUGGAAAUUGUAGUUUAAAUAUCUUUCUCGACAUGUUUGGAGAGAAUUAAAAAUAAAGUAAAAUUACUACAAAGGCUUUUAAAUUAUAUUGUACUGAAUUAAAAAGAUAUCACAUUCUAACU